rnacentral:lncRNA from 1 species
CUAUGUGGAGGCGAAUCAUGGAGGGAUCAGGCUAAUCAAAGAACUGGGAAAGUUAAGACAGCUACGGAAGUUAGGCCUAAAAAACUUGAAAAGUGAAGAUGGAAGGGCUGUGUGUGCUUCUAUUGAAAAGAUGAACCACCUUGAAUCUCUACUUUUAACUGCAAUAAAUGAAGAUGAAGUCCUUGAUCUAGAAUCUAUUUCAACUCCACCAGAAUUUCUUCGUUCUCUCUGCUUGAUAGGGCGUUUAGAGCAGUUGCCAGGUUGGAUUUCAAAUCUUCAACACAUAGUCAAGAUAACCAUUUAUUGGUCAAGGUUGAGAGAUUCCCCACUAAAAGCCCUUCAAAAUCUACCUAAUCUGUUGAAGCUAACUUUGGGUAGGAAUGCAUAUGAUGGUGUGCAGCUGCAUUUUGAGGAAGGAGGAUUUCAGAAACUUAGGGAGCUAAGGCAAAGAUGGUGGGACUAAAUUCGUUGAUCAUAGACAAUGGUGUCAUGCCUUUUCUCCAAGAGUUUCACAUUCGACCUUCCCCACAACUGAAGGAGGUGCCCUCUGGCAUCCACCAUCUCCGGAAUCUGACAACUCUUGAUUUCUAUGACAUGCCAAAGGAGUUUGCGCGACAGAUGGAUCCAGAAAAUGGCCAACAUUAUUGGAUUGUUGAACAUGUACAAAAUGUUCGUUUUAUUUACAAGGUCGGACCAAGUUGGGGUGAAUAUGAAACUCACGUCCUGCGCGAUUCCAACUUUUCUCUUUGGUCGAAUGCUUGAAUCCAACUUGUGAGGGGCUCUUGCAGGUUGACUGGGAGGGGCUCUUGCAUGUUUUGGUUAAGAGUUGGUUGUCAGCUCUGGUAUCCUAGUUUCUCUUGCUGGUUGGCUGGGAGGGGCUCUAUCUCUUCUGUUUUCUUUGUGUCGUCCAGUCGUAUUCCUAGCAUUUUCCUUGUAAUUUUAUUGGUGGUUGCAAUAAAAAUAUCCUUUCUAAUUAAUUUUCUCUAGGAGAAUGAUAAACCGUAUGCUCUUUUUAAUCUCACUUUGAUAAUUGAUGUUAAAAUAAUAAAUUUUUACUAUCUUUUAUUUUACCAAUUCUUUAGUAUUUUAUAUUCUUUAUAUUAAUUUGUAAUCUCUAAGAUAUUUUGUUGAGUAAAUUGUACAAAUGGUCCCUCAACUUUAAUCAAAUUGGAGCAAUGGUCCCUCAACUAAAAAUCCAUUACCUUUGGUCCCUCAACUUAUCAAAACGUGCAGCUAUGGUCCCUCAACUAAAAAUCCAUUACCAUUGGUCCCUGAACUUUAAUUCAAGUGGAGAAAUUGUCCUUUAACUUUAACCCAAUUGUAACAAUAGUCCUUCCAAUAUAACUCGUUUUGACAAAUUUUUUGACAUAGUUGACGAAAAGAACCAUAAUCAUACACUUUGAUGAGUUAAGGGACCCUAAUUAUAUAAAUGGUUAUUCCAACAUAGCUUAUUUUGACAAUAUUUUGACAAAAUUGAUGAAAAGGACUAUAGCUACACAUUUUGAUAAGUUGAGGGACCAAUGGUAAUGAAUUUUUAGUUGAGGGACCAUUGCUCCAAUUUGAUUAAAGUUGAGGGACCAUUUGUACAAUUUACUCUAUUUUGUUAAUCAAAGGGUAGAUUUUGUGGAUUAUAGAAAUUUCAUGAAUCGUGAUUUUUUUUUUUGGCCAAAAAUUUCGUGAAUCAUGAUUGAGCUCUCUCCAUUUGUAUGCACAGAUUGAUCCAGCCACACAUAUUUUGUAUGCACAGUGGUGAAAAAGUGUUGAGUGCUUACAUGACAGUAUUUAUUCAAACUUCAUCAAUAACUAAUCUAACAUUUAAUGUAACAAAUUUUAUCGAUGGACCAAAAAAAAAAAAGUUUGGUGCAAGAUGUAAAGGUGAGGGCCCACAAAUGCAAGCGUUGGGCGUGGCGGAGUGGAUCCCACGAUUUCAAAAUUCUGGACAGAAGGAACAUUUCUCUCAAACUUGGGCGCUGAAAAAAGUUGUCGUCGUCGUCUUUCCUUUUCUGGCUGAGUUUGCCUUCUUAAACCAACCCGAAAUUCUCGCCCCAAACAAAUAUUCAAACCUUUCCGUUUCUUCCCUUCACAAAUUUCCAAUUAGGGUUUCACAUUAACCUUGAUCAAAACUUCUACGUACAUAUAUAUACAUAUAUAUUUACAUAUAAUCUCUCUCUCUCCCUCUGUUUCUGAAUUUUGAUUUCCCGGGAAAGUUUCGAACUCGAUCGCUUCUUCGAAAGUCUCCUAAAGCUUUUUGAAAAAACAAAAAUCCAAAAUAUUUGUGAUAUAAAAAGGAAAUAAAUUUUAAAUCGCGCAUGGAAUUGACUGGUUCAUUUGCCUGAAAGUUGGUUCAGAUAGAGAGAGAUGGAGGGAGGGGAGACAGAGAUUGAGGGAGGAGAGAGAGAGAUGGAAGAAGAAAUGGUGGAAUUCGCGAGGGAGGCUUUCGAGGGGGAUGAAAUUGACAUGGACUACGAAUUCGAUGCGCUAAAGGUUCUACGAUUUCACUAGGCCGGAAUCUGAUUGGGAGGCCGAGGAGGCGGAGGAAUGGUUCCGGUCAGCCGGAGGCUAUAAGCCCUCGCGUAAGCGAUUUCCGGAUCAUUUGUUUGUUGUUUUCUUAGCAUGUCCCAAAAACAAUGAAUUGGAUCAUCUUCUAUGAUUACCACAUUAAUUAAUGAUCGUUUUCUGCUAAUUAAUUUCAGCAUCUACAUGUUAAGUUCAUGCAUUUUAGUUAUGUUACGUUGUUUUAUAUGAACAGAUUAGAGAUUGAAUUAUAAAUAUUAUAAUUUGAUUGGAUUAAUUUGUUACCACUAACUUUAUUUUUCCUUUGUUUAAUUUGUUUCAAAUCCUUUAGCUUUCCUUGAAAAAUGGUUGAAUUGGCAACAAGAGAAUCAUCCGGUACCUGUAAAAACCUCCGCGGAAUCGAAAGAUGUUGAAGUUACUAGAUGCAGUAACUUGAAUAAUUGCAUGAAAGCAAAGGUCUCUGCACCCGUAGAAGAUAAUGACAAAGGUACAUUCUACCUCAUUUCUUAUUAGAUUUUUGACGCAAUGUGAUACUUCGUUGUAAAAUUACUACACUCGGAAAAUUUUAGUUCUGUUUUCUGAAUCGGCUUUGCCUGAAUUGGUACAUGAAAUUGUAUCUUACUGUUAUGUUUUAUGUUAAACUUUCGACACGAUUAGAGUUUUCUAAUCACAUGGCUCAAGACACUCCGAAAACCAAACUGAAGUCCCCGGGUAAGUCACCACAUCUAUCAAGGAGUUCAACGUUAAUGAAACCCACGGCGAGUCGGUUGGCCAAGCAAAAUCAGCACCGAGAGGUUCACUCCAAUCGGUUAUUAAGGAGGUGCUGUUAUUUUUCUCUGAUGUUUCUGUUGUCAUCAAUGUAUCUUUUGUUCUAAUUGUUUGGUGGUCCAGUUUUCUAACUUGUCCCAUUUUCCGACUCUUGGUUACAGAGUUGCGAAAAAGCUCGGGAAACUUGAUUAGAAAUCACCGAAUUCUCCGCCACCUACGAUGGGCUACGAAAAUUCGAAGUAAUGUAGCAUAGCACUUUGCAAAUUGGGUAGUGCUAUCCACACGUCCAUUUUUACUUUUAACACACCCCUCUCAAUUUUUCGGUCAUUGGAAAAAUGAGUGUGUAAAUAGUACUAUCCUACAAAUUACGCAACCGAAACUAUAUCAGAAGAGCGAUUAUAACGUAUUAAAGUACCAUCUCACUAAAUUAUCCAACAAUGUUUCAGAGAUUAGAAACAAUCAUACCACUUUCAGCUUAGUCAUUCCAUCAAACGGCUGGUACGCUGCAAUCCCACUUAUGCUCAAAUCACCACCGUCCGUUCCCACCAUCGAUUCCAUCAGAUUCUCCGAAACCCAUUUCUCAAUCAAAUCCAAACACAGCUGCAACCACACCCAGAAAAUUAAAAAGUUGAACUUUACAUAAACUCCACUCCGAAAACAUAAAUUACACAAAACCCAACAAAAUCUCACCCUGUUCUCAGACAAUCCGAGUUGAAUAACCCCAUCCGGAUUAUCCACCCUAUCGUACGGCUCCUCCGAAGCCCUAUCCAACCCGAUAUAGUACGGCGAGUCAUUGGGCUUCGCAACCCAGCUCGCCCGGGAGGACAUCCGGACCCGGCCCAUGGGCCCGCGGGUGGACAAGCUGGACCGCGACGGCGUUCUGGGGAGCUCCGCCAGGUUGGAGGAGGACUGGGAGGGGGAAGGUGGAUCGGGGUUGGAGGGUCGGCGUCGUUUUAGGUAGAGCUGGAGGCAGUAAUAGAGAGCACAUGGGAUUAGAGAGGCGAGGAUGAGGCCGCCUCUGCCUUGGACGACGCCUUGGAGUGGCACAAUCAGUCUCAUCGCGGUGACUCCGGUGGGCUUGUUUCGGGUUGGGUCGGAGUCGGGUUCGCGGGUCCGGGUCUCGAGCUGUAGUGGGAGGGUUUCGGGUUGGCCGUGGGUUGCCGUGGAGGGAUUGAGUGAGAUUCGAGAGCCCUGCGAGGGAAGUGUGUGUUUUUGCAGUUUUGCUUCCAGAAACUUUUGGUCAGUUUACGAUUGGCACCUGCCAGUUUCGAUAUUUGGAUCUUUUGUUGGCGUGCUAACACCUCGUCGUAUUACUUUAUAGCACAUUUACUAUUCCGGAAUCAGAUUAACGGAAUUUAAUGAAGAAUGAAUUGAAUUGAAGAUGAAUUAGAAUGAGGUAGAAUCAGAAUCAGAUUAUUGUUGGAGUUGUUUAUUAAAAUUAUCUGGAAUCAGAAUAAAAACUUAUGUGUUUAGGGAACCCUAGUUUAACUAAUCUAUUUUAUAUGCAAAUUAUUUUUAAACUUUUAUUCUUUCAUUUUUUUUUCGUAUAGAGAACAUUUUUAUUUUAUUUUGUAGUAAAAAUUUAUUCUUUCAUUUUUCCAAUUUUUUUUUUGUGACCCUCAGUCUCUCCCCUCUCUUCCCCAUCUUUCUCCCGACCUAAAAAAGUUUCUAAGGGUUUGUUUGGUAUCCUAUUUGAAAUUUUUUAUAAUUUUUCAAAACAUUUCUAAAGAAUUUUUCUUGAAAACAAUUUUUUUUAAGACUCAAAAACUUGUUUGGUAUGCGAUUUAAAAUUUUUAAAUCUUACAACUUAAACUGGACAAAAAGAUCCAUAAAAAUGGGGUCGAGAGAGAAAGAGGAGAGAGGAGAAAAGAAAGUCAGAGAUGAUUGGAGGAAAGAGAAAGAAGUGAGAAGAUCGGAGGAGAUAGAGAGGAAGAGGAGUAAGAGAAAGAACCGAGAAAAUGAAGAGAGCGGAUUGGAAGAGAGACGAAAAAGGUAAAAUAAAAAAGAGAAGGGUGAGAGAGAAAGAAGAAAAUAGAGAUAGAUUUAGAGUGAGAGGGGAGGAAGAAGAGAAAAGAAAUGAGUGAGUUUAAGUUUAAAAACUCUAAAAACUCACUUUUUGUGUUUUUAGAUAAUAGACUAUAUUUUUUAGUUAGUCUUGAGUUCAGUUUUUGAAAAUAAUCCUACUAAACAAGUUUUUAAGGCCUAAAACUUGAAAAUUGUUUUUGAGUUUAAAAAGUUGGAUUCAAGUAGCGUACCAAACAUGCUCUAAAAUGUCCCCAUCUUUCUCUGUUUUUGACGUUCUGCCGACCUAACCCUUUCUAACAUAUCUUUCUAUGUUGCCAACCCACCCCACGUUUGGCAAUAACCUUUCAUGCUCCCUCUUUCCAUGUCCCAGCCUUGAUUUUUUUACCCCAAUUUUGAGUUUCCCAGUUGAGGCAAUGACUGAGCUUUUAACCAUGGAGUCGGCAGAUUGAAGAGUCGAAAUGAGAAUAUAUAAGCAUAGGGACAUGAAUCAAGUUUGGGAUAAACAACAGCUGACUGAAGGCCAAGAGGAAGAUGGACCUUGAAAGCUCCAGUCCCAAGUCGCGAAAACGAAGAGGAAUUGGAGAAGAAGUUGCAACGAGUCGACUGAGAGAGAAACUAGAGUGUUGAAGUUGCAGGGGUGUUUUGGGAUAUCAAAAGAAGUACAAGGCCACUUUAGAAAGAAAAGUUUGAUUAUUGAUGGACCCUUUCUUCUGGAAUUCAAUUACCAGUAUAUCUUGGUAAUCAGAUUCCGGGUAAAUCCGGAAUUGAAUUCCCCAUUUUGGUGGACCCCACCUUUAUUUUCAUUCUCCAAAUACAAGUAAACACAUGAAUGCAUUGGAAGGAAUUCAAUUCCGAUUCCACUUACCUCAUUCCCGUUUCGUAAUGAACAGUGUUUGUACCCGGAUUUCAGUUUAAUUACAACCAUGCCAUUGCUUUAAUGAGUAGGCUUUGUGGAAGGUUUGGGUUCGGGCUGGGGUUUUAUUUUUUUGGGUUUGGGAGGAUGGGCUUUUGCGGGUUUGGGGUGUGGCUGGGUUUGUUUUGGUUGGUGUUUGUAGGUGUAGGUAUGGAGUAAGGUGGAUGCGGUGACACAUCCACAGAGCCUAACCUGCAGCUUGCAGAAUGGCAGAGAGAAGAGGAGAGAUGGAAGAGUCGUGGGUGAGAAAAAAGGAGAGAGGGAAGAGUCGUGAGUUGCAAACGGGAUAGGAGGAAAGACGGAAGGAGAGAAGGAAGGGUAGGAUGAGCGAAGCAACGGUAGGGGUGCCCGAAAGUUUGGGAUUGUUUGUUGUCGACAACGGGUGCGCAGAGAGAGGGCGAGGCACGGAGGGAGGGCUAGGGGUAGGGUUCCUUUCGGAAUUUUGGUCCAACUCAAUGGGUGAGUAAUGCUAUUUAUUUUCAUGCGCAUGUUUUCUGGAAGUUCAUUCCUGUUUUGGGAUGUUUGAAUAUGUAGGCAUUGUUUAAAUUACAAUAUUUUAUAAAGUUAAACUGUUUAAAUUACUUAUUUAUAAUUUUAGCCCUUGCGCCACUUUGAGGGACUACUGGGAUUGACUGCUGGUAGAGCUCAUAUCAAUUGCUGUAAGUCCCUUACUUCCGGACACUUACAUUUAUGAUCAUUUUUGUGUUAAGAUGAUACAGUUAUAACUUAUAACCGUCUUACAUAGAUCAACGCAUAUGUAUAUCGAAUUUACCUACAUUACUCGAACAAUUUCUUUUCGAUUCACAAAGGGAAUUAAUAAAAUCCAAUAUCUGUGUAAAAGUUUGGUUUCCAACUUUCUAGCAGUGAAAGUGUUGCCCUUUCUGCAGACUACACCCUUUCACACACUCACUUUGAUAUGGUUAAACAUAUGUAUUCAAGAUUUUGAUCUCUGUGUGAUUUGGCAAUACUUAUCACCUAAUAUUCCUCUCUCUCUCUCAUGAAGGCACUCAUUGCAUUAAAAAAAGGUUCCCAGUUAAUCAAAUAUAGCCGGAAAGGGAAGCCAAAACUUUGUCCAUUCAGAAUUUCAACUGUGAGUAAUUUCCUUAAGAGAAGAACAAGUUUGAAUCACUUUUUUUGUAAUUGUGUUUAUUAUAGUUCUUUGAAUGAAAAUCCUAAUUUGUACAAAUUACAAGGUAUGUUACCACCCUCUUUAAUCUAAAUAUAUGCAAUGUGCAGAAUUACAUCUGUUCUCAAGAAUGAACCUGUUUUGUUCCAUCCUUCUGUUAAGGAUUAUAAUUUAUAUAGAAUUUAUAAGGUUUCUCUCUUUCAGGUUACUUUAUGUUUCGAAUUAAUUGGAUAUAGCAUUCUUCACGAGCUUUGAUAAUUAUUUAAUUUCUAAGUUUUGUUCCAUGCAUGGUUGAUUUUCUUUAAUAAUUAUUGAAUCACUUCUAUAUUUGCUUGGUACUUAGGAUCUAAAGCAUUUUUCCUUUUGAAGAGCAGCUACAGGGAAAGUAUGAGGUGCCCUUUUCUUCUUUGUGUGUGUUUUUUUUUUAAUUUCUAAUUUUUAUGCCGGAACUCGAAAUCAAAGUUCUGAUCUGGGACUGAUUGCUUAGAGCUCUGAUUGCUUACCUUGUCUGUCACCUCUUUCAGCAGAUCCCCUAGCUCGACGACUUGGGGGACUCCUACUACAUGGUUUGUAUCGCGCUUAACCAAGCCUGAAACUACAAGUAAGCUUCAAGUGAAAUUGAUACAUUACCUUGUGCAUCUCCACCAGUUAAAGAUACCACCCUUGGAUGGAGGAAGAGUACUUCAAGAGAAGAUGCCGCAUCUACCUAUGAGACAGAUAAGGCAAGUCAAGACGAUACCACACUCUGGUACUUAGAAGUUUCGUGAUUACGAGAUCAUUCUCCCACAGUCUUUCCUAAUGUCAUUUGUACUAAAUCAUUCACUUGUACUCAUUAAAGGAGAGCUUGAACCUACGUACUUGUGUAAACCCUUCACAAUUAAUGAGAACUCCUCUAUUCCGUGGACGUAGCCAAUCUGGGUGAACCACGUACAUCUUGUGUUUGCUUUCCUAUCUCUAUCCAUUUAUAUACUUAUCCACACUAAUGACCGGAGCAAUCUAGCGAAGAUCACAAAAAACGACCGUUUUCGCUACCUAGGAUCUAUCUUGCAAGAGACCGGAGAAUUAGAUGGAGAUCUCAACCAUAGAAUACAAGCUGGAUGGAUGAAGUGUAAGAGUGCAUCCGGCGUGUUGUGUGACCGUCGUAGGCCACUGAAGCUCAAGGGAAAAUUUUAUAGGACGGCAAUAAGGCCAGCAAUGUUGUAUGGCACAGAAUGUUGGGCGGUGAAGUAUCAACACGUACACAAAAUGGGUGUAGCGGAGAUGAGGAUGCUUCAUGGGAUGUGUGGGCACACGAGAAAGGAUAAAAUUGGGAAUGAGGAUAUCCGAGGUAAAGUAGGAGUAGCCGAAAUUGAAGGAAAGAUGAGAAAAAAUCGGUUACGGUGGUUUGGACAUGUGCAAAGAAGGCCUACUGACGCUCCGGUUCGAAGAUGUGACUACGGGACAGAGGUUCAUGGCCGAAGGGGUAGAGGAAGACCUAGGAAAACUUUGGAAGAGACCCUAAGAAAAGACUUAGAGUACUUGGAUUUAACGGAGGACAUGACACAAAACCGAGCGCAAUGGCGUUCUAGGACUCAUUUAGCCGACCCCACUUAGUGGGAAAAGGCUUUGUUGUUGUUGUUGUUGUCUAAUUUUUAUGCAAGACAUGAAAUAUUGUAGGAAUCAAAUGUAUGAUUGUCACCAAAUGUAUACACCUGUGCAUAGUUAGUUUUCCUUACUCUAUUCGAAUUUCGCUCUAAUUUUCUUUACUCUUCCUUGUAUGCUGUGUUGUAUGUGAAAAUCUGAAAUGAUAGCAUUUGUUAAUCUGUGUUUUGGGUUGUGAUUUCCCAUAUUUUACUUACAAUUUCUGAGUCAUUUAUCUGACCUGAAAAAAAUAUUUGGUCCUACUUCUGGGCUAACAUUUAUUGGUUUUAUUUUUAUUCCUGAUAGAAAUUCAAACAUCAUCCUGCAAUCAAAACACCGCUGGAAGGUGGGACUGUUCCCUAUAAGUAUGCUGUCAGCACUGAAUGAAAUGUUUAUUGAAGAGUUAAGGCUGGAGGCUUUAAGAACAGGGUUUCUCAUAGCUGGAGUUCUCAUUGUUGUCAAUCAUAGUAAUUUCAUGUAAGAUGUAGUUAAAGCACACUACAAGCAGAAGUAGACAAUUUGCAAUCCUUCUCCCUUGGUUUCUUAACUUUUGAAUAUAUAGCGUAAUCCCCUAUUGCUAGACAUUCUAGCAACAUAGGUGCUUAUGUUGCCAGAUAGUGUAUAUGGACCACACAUUCUGGCAAAAGUUUACAUGAUCAAUGGUUUAGAUUUACAAUUUGGCAUAUGUGGUCAGACUAUCAUUCUGAACCAUUGAUAAGAUGGGUGUUUGCUUAACGUGUGGUGCCAGAUUUAUAGUCUUGCGACAUUUCUGCUAUUUUUAAGAGAGCAAUACUCUCUCCGCUUCCUCCUUGCAUAAUGAUAAUUAUAUAUUUGUGUGUGUGUGUGUGUGUGUAACUAUGUAUAUAUCUUUUUUUUUUUGUGUUGUACAUGUUAUACAAAUGCAAGUAUGAUGUUAUAUCCCCCCCUAAGCUGCUGAAACUCACAUAUCAUAUAGGAUGCAUAUGUUUUGUUUUAUUGAACUGGACUAACAAAAUUUAGAGUUUCUACUUAUUUGAUAUGGAUAUGGAGUAAAUUUGCUCCGUUGUUAAUAAGUUCAUGUUCCCUCUCUUAAUUCAGGCAUUGAGUAUAUCCCUUUCGGCCCUGGGGUCUUCGAAGUGGCUUCAGAAUAAUAAGCCUAAGACACUGGUUCUUAUAAUAUACAUGUGUAGGAAUUGUUCAAACCAUCCAUCUAUCAUAAGGUCAGCUCCUUAGCUUCCCUUUGUUCUACCGCUACUUGAAAAAUUAUGCGCUUUUAAAAUUGGUCCAUUGCUAUGACUAUUUCAAAGUUAAUUUUGGGCCAACAUAAUAGAAAGACAUUUUCAAAGUUAAUUUUAAAUGAAAAUGUUAUUUCCAAAAUGCUUAGCUUUUAUGAAGGUAAUCCCAAUAAGAUCUAUGAGUUUGAUUCACUUUAGUUUUUAUAAUUCUUAUUUGUUCGCAUUUCCUCAUGUUCAUGCAGUAUAGUUUUUAUAAUCCCUUGAAUGAUACUCAGCUCUCAGUUUCCAAGUCAACCCCCUUCGAUGCUGAUCAGAGAUACUCACGUUUGCAGCGUGAUGGCUUGGUCUCUAGGCGUGAGAAGUCAAUGACAUAUAUGCAAGAUGAUAUGCAACAACUGAGAGGAUGCAGUUCUGGCACCUAGGUUUUGGGAAGAAAUGGAAUGGAGAUGAUACUGAAGAAGAUUGUAAGUCAUGCCUAAUCACUAAAUACAUUAGCAAUUUUAGUGACUAGUCUGAGCUCACCCUAUAUAUAUGAAGAGAUAUUGAAAUAAUGAUUAGAAUAUGGUAAUUCACAAAUGAUUAGGAUUGUGUGAAUGUUAGUUUAAAAUGAAGUUUCUGACCAGAGAUACUCAUGUUUGUAGCGUGAUGGCUUGGUCUCUAGGCGUGAGAAGUCAAUGACAUAUUUGCAAGAUAAUAUGCAACAACUGAGAAGAUGCAAUUCUGGGACCAAAUCCCUGGGUUUUGGGAAGAAAUGGAAUGGAGAUGAUACUGAAGAAGAUUGUAAGUCUUGCCUAAUCACUAUAUACAUUACUACAUUAGCAAUUUUAGUGACUGGUCUGAGCUCACCCUAUAUAUAUGAAGAGAUAUUGAAAUAAUGAUUAGAAUAUGGUAAUUCACAAAUGAUUAGGAUUGUGUGAAUGUUAGUUUAAAAUGAAGUUUCUGACCAUUGUAAACAAACUAUAUAUUUUACCUUUGUCUUGGGAUACAGUAUCACGUUUAACGAUUGAAUUUGUAAUACGGUUUAGCAGUUUUUUCAUAAACUUAAUAUUCUUGCCAGAUGCUCAAGUAUUGUCUUCUACUUUUCUACUUUCCCCUUUUUGUGUUUUUCCUCCAUGUAGUGGGCUGAUUACUUGAAACUAUGAUAUUGAUGACACAGUACGGUCUACAAAUGAAUGUUUCUUAUAGCUAUCCAUAUAUAGCAAGCAAGUUUUGACUUCAUUUGUUCUUAGGUACUACAACGUCUUUUUAGUUGCUUUGUGUCGAAACUAUUCAUGCUUUCACUCAUGUGUCCCUUUGUUCAUUCAUGAUUGUAUUGAAUUUAUUCAGGUUAAUGUGUCUUAUUCAUGCAGUUACGCCUGAAACAGUUGCUUCCCGCCGCAACACGCAUACUUAUCAUCUAGUAAUAACAAAAAGAACGAAAUUUCAUUCUUUUUGGGGUAAAGAUGUAAUUUUGAAUCAAAUGCUAUUCUUAUCAUAUUUUUAGGAUAAAUAACGGUUUAACACAUUGAACUAUCACUCCAGUUGAAAUUGACCCCUUAAACUAUAUUUUUGGUAAAUUAACACCCUGAACUAUUUAAAGUAUGUCAAUUAACCCCUUCUCGUUAGAUUGCGGAAUCAAUUCCGUCAAAUUCAAGGGCAAAUUAAUCAUUUCAUCAUCAAUUGUUACUUGCAAUUAUAAUUACCAAUAAAAUUAUGACACAUGGACACAUAAUAAUUCAAAAACAUAUAGCAUAAUGAGAAAACACAAAAAACCAAACUUUUAUAUAAUGGACCAUCUCACAUUGUCAUUACACAUUAUUUUGUGUCCACAUGUCAUAAUUUCAUUGGUGGUUAUAGUUGACAAGUAAGAAUUGAUGAAGGAAUGACUAAUUUUCUUUUGAAUUUGACAAAAUAGUUGAUGGAAUAUACUGACAAGGGGUCAAUUGGCUGAUUUCAAAUAAUUUAGGGGUUAAUUUACCACAAAAAUAGUUCAGGGGAUAAAUUUCAACUGGAAUUAUAGUUAAAGGGGUCAAAUGGAAAUUUACCCUAUUUUUUAUACCGUAUUUUUAAUUCUUCUAUGAGACGUGUGUGUGUGUGUGUGUGGACCUCGCUUUUAUUAGAGAGAUUGAAAAACUUAUUAAUGUGCUCGUAAUAGUAGUUGUACCAUAUGUUAUGGUACAAAUACUGAAUACUAUGCCGUGUUUCAAGCAUACUGAAAUAUUUGUCAGAAAGAUGGUACAAAUGUAAACGACUUCACGAAUGAUGGCAGGCCUACCAAAUAUAAAAUGGUGGUUAUUUGUUCAUUUGUCAAACCCAGCUGGUGCAGUGGUUGGUGUGGGUGGUCUCACAUGUUGACCUCAACGACUGCUAUUGCUACAACAUAGCAAUUUUCCUGCUCAGCUGACUAAAUUGCAAAGAUGUAAACUUUAUUUUUAUUCAUCUCCGACUCUCAUCCAGAUCGCAUUGUUAAUCACCCCUCUAAUUCGAGUUUUUCUUUCUUACGGUAUUGAUAAUAUAACAGCAUAUAAUGAAUCUUCCAAAGUACAGGGCAUAUAAUAUACCAGCACUUCUGAAAUUAUUGAACAUUGAAUCGGAACGAGUGUGAAAAGUGCUAUAUGAUGGAUACCUAAGUCAAUGCAUGAGACAAACGCUGAUUCAUCACGUCACGUUCAUAAAUUCAGUCUCCUUGCAAUCCAGAAAGUCAUCUGCAACCUAAGCAGAAAUAUUCCACAUAGAAUUGAAAAAUGUUCAUGAUUUCUUAUCAUAUGAGAGCAAACAUUCAUCAGUUAUAGAUACUUUGUCUGCCAGAAAAGGCAGGAUACAAAAUGGCAGAACUGAUUGUAUGCUUUGUGGUCGACAAAUUAAUUCAACUACUCAUCACUACAGAAGCAAACCUCUCGAGAAAUGCACGUACUGAAGUUGGUUUCAUCAAAGAUGAACUCGAGAGCAUCCGAUCAUUCCUCAGGGAAGUAGAUGCUAUGGCUGCAGCAGCAGUUGGAGAGACGGCGAAUGACGGUGUCAAAACUUGGGUCAAUCAAGUAAGAGAAGCAGCUUUUUACGUGGAAGAUGUCAUUGAUGAAUAUUUGCUCCGGAGUAUACGGCAUCAUCAGCACCAUGGAUUCGUUCGUUUUUUCCAUAAAAUUAUCCGGUUGGCUAAAACAAUGAGAUCACAGGAUGGGAUAGUUUCGAAAGUUGACCGUAUAAAAGAAUUGGUACGUGAAAUCAAGGAGAGAAGCGAAAGAUAUGGAUUCAAAUCCAUUGAUCAGCAAGGCCAGAGCAGUGGAGAAAAGUCUCUACAGUGGAACGACCCUCGAGUGGUUUAUUGGUAGGAGUGCCAAGACGUGAAGUGAUAUCAGUGGUUGGCAUGGGAGGACUUGGAAAAACCACUCUUGCCAAGAAAGUGUAUGACCAUCCGAAGGUCAUGGCACACUUUGAUUGCUAUGCUUGGAUUACGGUGUCCCAGUCAUACAGGGUUGAGGAUCUUUUGAGGACGGUAAUAAAAAGGUUCUACAGUUCAAGGAAGGAGCGUUUCCCAGGGGAAAUUGACACAAUGGAUGAGGAGUCCCUGAUUAGCAAAUCAAGAGAGUAUUUGCAGCAAAAGAGGUACGUUGUUGUGUUUGAUGAUGUGUGGAAAGUAGAUUUUUGGGGGGGCUAUAGAACAUGCUUUACACGAUAAUAAAGGUGAACGAAUAAUUAUCACUACAAGGAUUCAGGAUGUUGCCGAUUUUUGCAAAAGAUCUUGUUUUGUUCAUGUUCAUCACUUGCAACCUCUGCCUGCAAACAAGGCAUGGGAAUUGUAUUGUAGAAAGGCAUUUCAGUUUGAAUUGGAGGGAAAUUGUCCUCCAGAGUUGGAAGAGUUGUCUCUUAACAUCGUCAAAAGAUGCGAAGGACUACCUUUGGCGAUUGUUUCCAUAGGUGGUCUGCAGUCAACGAAAGUUAAGCUUGUGUCUGAAUGGCAGAAGUUAUACAAUAGCUUAAGUUCAGAGUUAGAAAGCAAUCCCCAUCUUACAAGCCUCACAAGAAUCCUAUCACUCAGCUAUCAACAUCUUCCGUAUCACCUCAAAUUGUGUGUCAUAUACUUUGGCAUCUUUCCCGAGGACUACUCAAUUAGUUGCAUAAGGUUAGUUCGGUUGUGGAUCGCUGAAGGCUUCGUGAAACCGAAGAGGGGUAAGACGCUAGAAGAGGUUGGAGAGGAAUACUUGAUGGAGCUAAUUCACCGAAGCCUAGUCCAAGUGUCAGAAGUUUACACUGAUGGAAAAGCUCGAGCUUGUAGAGUUCAUGAUCUUUUGCACGAAGUCCUCCUUAAAAAGGGUGUGGAUUCGAGCUUCUGUCAUGUGUUAUCAAAAGACGAGUCAACUUUUAAACCAACAACUCGACGUCUCUCAAUGGACAUCAGUCCCUUUGAGGCCCUGGGAAGCAUUACACAAUCCCACAUUCGUUCUGUAUUUACUUUCAACCAAGAAGAAUGGCCCGAGUCUUUUCUCAAUACAUUGAGUGGAAACUUUAAACUUCUGAAAGUAUUGGAUGUCACGGAUGCUCCAAUCAAUCAACUUCCGAAAUAUGUGGGGGAUUUGUAUCUCUUGACAUACUUAAGCCUGAGGAAUACAAAGGUGAAGUUGCUUCCAGACUCCAUAGGCAAUCUGCAAAACUUAGAAACUCUGGAUCUAAAACAGUCUUUGGUGUAUGAAAUACCAGCCAAGAUCAAUAAGCUUGUUAAGCUGCGGCAUCUUUUGGCCUACUAUCGUGACUACAACUACAACAUGGAUAUGUUCUUGAAUAUGGAAAGAGGAGUGAAGAUACAUGAAGGUAUUGGAUGCUUACAAGCUUUGCAAAAACUGUCCUAUGUGGAGGCGAAUCAUGGAGGGAACAAUCUGAUCAAAGAACUGGGAAAGUUAAGGCAGCUGCGGAAGUUAGGCCUAAAAAAUUGGAAAAGUGAAGAUGGAAGGGCUCUACGUGCUUGUAUUGAAAAGCUGAACCACCUUGAAUCUCUACUUUUAACUGCACUAAAUGGAGAUGAAGUCCUUGAUCUAGAAUCCAUUUCAACUCCACCAGAAUUUCUUUGUGCUCUCUGCUUGAUAGGGCGUUUAGAGCAGUUGCCAAGUUGGAUUUCAAAUCUCCAACACCUCGUCAGGAUAACGAUUUUUUGGUCAAGGUUGAGAGAUUCCCCAUUAAAAGCCCUUCAAAAUCUACCUAAUCUGUUGGAGCUAGUUUUGAAAAUCAAUGCAUAUGAUGGUGUGCAGCUGCAUUUUGAGGAAGGAGGAUUUCAGAAGCUGAGGCAUCUGGAACUCAGGGACAUGGAGGGACUAAAUUCAUUGAUCAUAGACAAUGGGGUUAUGCCUCUUCUCCAAGAGUUUCACAUUGGACCUUCCCCACAACUGAAGGAGGUGCCCUCUGGCAUCCACCAUCUCCGAAAGCUGAGAUAUCUUGUUUUCUUUGAGAUGCCAAAGGAGUUUGAACGACAUAUGGAUCCAAAUAAUGGACUGCAACAUUGGAUUGUUGAACAUACACAAGAUGUCCGCUUUAGUUACAAGUUCGGACCAAGAUGGUGUGAAUAUGAAACUCACGCCCUACGUGAUUCCAACUUUUCUUUUUGGGAGAAUGCUUGAUUCCAGCUUGUGAAACCAAGCAUGGGAAUGGGAUGGUCUCUUUUUGUACAGUUUUUGGUUAGAGGUUGACUGGGAGUGACUCUUUCUCUUCUGUUUUUUUUGUGUCUUCCAGUCGAGUGGCCUUCCUAGUAUUUUCCUUAUAAUUUUAUUGGUGGUUGCAAUAAAACUGUUUGUUUAUAAAAAUUAAAAAUAAAUAGGUAUCGUGCAACUCAUAAUGCUCAAAUACCAUAAUAAAUUUUCAUUGAACUUUAGGUGAAUGAAUCAAGUUUUUACAAAGAUAAAUGGCAACUAUUUACCUCAAAUCUUUGUUGUAAAAAUGAAGAAUUCCUUCAUUUUUUUUUUCUGGUGAGUUUUGUCCCUAAAUCAACAAUUCAACUAAUUGAGAAAAGUAAUUGAAGAAAGUUGAGGUUUCAUCAUAAAACCAAUUGACAUCAUAGGGAGUAGUCCAACUAUGCAAGAUCUCGCCCUCCAUCAAUGGAAUUCAUUCUCAAUAUGCCCCCUCACGUGUAGCGAAUUUUCAAUCCGAACACGUAGACAACACAAACGGGAUGACGAAGAGCACGUGUGGCCGUUGAGUUUCACGCAUGAGACAACUUGCUCUGAUACCAUGAAAAAGUUGGGUUCCAUCGUAAAAUCAAUUGGUACUAUGGGGAGUAACCCAAUUGCUUAUAAGUACAUGUAAUAUCUCUCAUUCGAUCAAUGUAGGAUUCAUUAUCAAGAGUAAUAAGACUGAAGAACAUGAUUUAGUAAACUAAAUCUUACCAUUUUUCAUCACAGAAGAGGCAGGCAUCCAUUGAGGUGUGGCGCUAGCUGGGCUAUUGAAUAAUAACAAGAAGAAAGAAAUUUCAUUCUUUUUGGGGGUAAAGAUGUAAUUUUCAUCAAAAUGCUACUCUUGUCACAUUUCACAUCACAUUUUUACCACAUCAACUAUAGAGAGAAAAUUUUUAGUAUUUGAAAUAUGGACACCUACGUCAUAUGUCAUUAUACAAGUGGAGGGAUUGAGUGAGAUUCGAGAGCCCUGCGAGGGAAGCCAUUUUGCAUCUUUUGUUGGCGUACAAACACCAUCCUCGUAUAAUAACAAAAAGAACGAAAUUUCAUUCUUUUUGGGGUAAAGAUGUAAUUUUGAAUCAAAGUCUUUUCUUAUCAUAUUUUUCUUACUGUAUUUGUAACCGUUAUGAUGCAAAUGUGUGUGGAUCUUACUUCUAUUAGAAAAAUUAAGAAAAUUUUUAAUGUGCUCAAAAUAAUAUUUGAUACUAUUCUGUGUUUCAAAUACACUAAAAAAAUCUCUAAACAACUUCAUGAACGAUGGCAGGCGUACCAAAUAUAAAAUGGCGGUUGUUUGUUUAGUUGUAAUACCCAGCUGGUGCAAUGGUUGGUGUGGCCUCACUUGUUGACCUCAACGACUGCUAUUGCUACAACAUAGCAAUUUUCCAGCUCGGCUGACUAUAUUGCAGAGAUGUAAUCUUUCAUUGAACUUUAGGUGAAUGAAUCAAGUUUUUAGCGUCUGAAACACAAAAUGCUCAAAUGUCAUAAUAAAAUUUCAUUGAACUUUAGGUGAUUGCAGAGAUGUAAUCUUUCUGGGGGUAAAGAUGUAAUUUUAAUCAAAAUGAUACUCUUGUUACAUUUCAUAUCACAUUUGUACCACGUCUACAAUAGAGAGAAAUUUUUUAGCGUUUGAAACACGGACACCUACGUCAUAUGUAAUUAUACAAGUAGAUAAACAUUUGAAAAAUAAAACUUCUCAACAUUUUGUACAAUAACAUGAGGUGCCGUCCGUAUUUUGAACACAUUGAAAUUUCUCUCUUAAUAGAGAUAUGACCACAUGUGUUGAAGGCCUUCUUCUAUUAAAAAAUAUGAUAAUUUUGAAUUGAAAAUUUGAAAGGUUUGACGAAUGACGGCAGGCUUACCAAGUAUAAAAUGGUGGUUGUUUGUUUAUAGGAGAGUGCUUGUUUUAAUUUUCGUUUGGUUGUGCUGCCUCUUCUGAAUCUAUGUAUGAAGGAUGGAGAUUUUUUAUUUGUAGGAUCUACUUCAUUAAUUUGUUGCUUUGGAAUCAUGGUGGUGAUUAAGCGAUGCGAUAGACCUAUAAGCAUCGUACUCUCAAUCACAAUUUAUGGUUUGAGAUUUUGUUCUCACAUGAUCAUCUUGUAACAUGAAGUUUCCCAUUUUAUCUGUGUAAUCAUGUGAUUCCCAAUGAGCUCAGAUGAAUGGUUGAAGUUUACUUGUUGCUUUGCAAGUAGUGAUGCUUAUUGUAAUAUUUUUAGAUCUAGUUUAUAAAGACCCUUUUGAAGCCAAAUUCUUCAUGAUAUAUAUUUAUAAUACUCUUCUAUAAAUGAAUGAAAAUAUCAUACUGCUCUUGUUUUUUUUUUUUUUUAAAAGAGAGUUUGGAUAGGUAUUACUAUUGAUGCAAAGCCACAGGAAACCUUGUUGGCUUUGGUAAGGCAAACCAUUAAGCAUGCAAUUACUAGUCAAUCCCAUCUGCCAGCUGGUGGAAUGGUUGGUUUGGUCUCACUUUUUGGUGUGCCUUGUAUAAAAGGCAUGUGAUGCUCAGUUCCGUAUUUUAGUCACAUUAAAAAAUUUCUCCUUAUACAUUAUUCCAAGUUCAGGACAUAAUAUAUACUGACAUUGAUUCUCUCUGGAUCCAUUUCCAUAAUAUACCAGCAGUUCUUGAAUUAUUGAAAAUUGAAUCAGAAAAAGUCUGCAAUAUGAUAUAAUGGAUUGGAUAGGAAUCCGAAUCUCUUCCUCCGAAUCCAUCAAAUAAGGAAAUUCGUACAGUUGAAAUUUGAUCAAAUCAUUAAAAUUAUUAUAACUUUUAAAUUGGCUAUCUGUUUGUAACCGUUAAAUCAAAUUUCAACGACACGAAUUUUCUGAUUUGAUGGAUUCCUUAUGGAUUACCUAAUUCAAUAGGAGGUAGAUUCUCUGCCCUCCCACUUCUUAUGCCCUCCUGUUUGUGUGGUCACGGUUAAGCCACGUCAAUAUUUUAUAUUACUAUUCUUUUUUGUCUUAUUAUCUUUAUAAAAAAUAAUAUAAAAUGUUAACAUAGCUUAACCGUAACUACACAAAACAGAAGGGUACGGAAGGACACUGAAAGUGGGAGGGCAGAGAAUCUGCCUCCAAUUCAAUAUGAGCCAAUCGUUGCCUUAUCACAUCAUAAUUCAAUAUGAGCCAAUUGCUGCCUUAUCACAUCACCUUCAUAUUUUAAUUCACCUUACAAUCUAGAAAGUCGUCUGCAACGGAUUCGGAUCCCAUCCGGAUUCAAAAUGUGGAAAUGUUAGAGGUUCUCACAUCUUAACUAUUCAUCGUGCAUCGUUUGGUAAAAAAUUAUUUGAUUUUUAUUUAAAAUUAAACAUAAAUAGUACCUGAUGAAAAUUACCGGCAUGAUGUACGAUGAAUAGCUAGGAUAUGAGAAUUUCUAAAAUUCCUACAAAGUGGAUCCGGAGAGGAUCCUCUUCCGUCUGCAACCUAACCAGAAAUACUGCACACAGAAUUCUAAAAUGUUCAAAAUUUCAUAUAAUUGAGCACAUAUUCAUCAAUUAUAGAUGCUUUGUCUGCCAGAAAAGGGCAGGAUACAAAAUGGCAGAACAGAUUGUAUGCUUUGUGAUCGACAAGUUAAUUCAACUACUCAUCGCCACAGAAGCAAACCUUUCGAGAAAUGCACGUACUGAAGUUGGUUUCAUCAAAGAUGAACUCGAAAGCAUCCGAUCAUUCCUCAAGGAAGCAGAUGCUAUGGCUGCAGCAGCAGAUGGAGAGACGGGGAAUGACGGUGUCAAAACUUGGGUCAAUCAAGUAAGAGAAGCAGCUUUUUACAUUGAAGAUGUCAUUGAUGAAUAUUUGCUCCGCAUCUUAUGGCAUCAUCAACACACCAUGGAUUCCUUCGUUUUUUUCCACAAAAUUAUCCGGUUGGCUAAAAAAAUGAGAUCAAAGGAUGGGAUAGUUUCGAAAGUUGACAGUAUAAAAAAAUUGGUUCGUGAAAUCAAGGAGAGAAGUGAAAGAUAUGGAUUCAAAUCCAUUGAUCAGCAAGGCCAGAGCAGUGGAGAAAAGACUCUACUGUCGAACGACCCUCGAGUGGCUUCCCUUUUCAUUAAGGAAGCUGAAAUUGUGGGGAUUGAAUCUGCCAGAGAUGAGCUAACUCGUUUGUUGGUAGAAGGAGCGACGAGACGUGAAGUGAUAUCAGUGGUUGGCAUGGGAGGACUUGGGAAAACCACUCUUGCCAAGAAAGUGUAUGACCAGCCGAAGGUGAUGGCACACUUUGAUUGCUAUGCUUGGAUUACAGUGUCCCAGUCGUACAGGGUUGAGGAUCUUCUGAGGACGGUAAUCAAAAAGUUCUACAGUUCAAGGAAGGAGCGUUUCCCAGAGGAAAUUGACACAAUGGAUGAGGAGUCCCUGAUUAGCACAUCGAGAGAGUAUUUGCAGCAAAAGAGGUACAUUGUUGUGUUUGAUGAUGUGUGGAAAGUAGAUUUUUGGGGGGCAAUAGAACAUGCUUUACCCGAUAAUGAAGGCGGACGAAUAAUUAUCACUACACGGAUUCAAGAUGUUGCCAACUUUUGCAAAAGAUCUUGUUUUGUUCAUGUUCAUCACUUGCAGCAUCUGCCUCCAAACAAGGCAUGGAAAUUGUUUUGUAGGAAGGCAUUUCAGUUUGAAUUGGAGGGAAAGUGUCCUGAAGAGUUGGAAGAGUUGUCUCUUAACAUCGUCAAAAGAUGCGAAGGACUACCUUUGGCAAUUGUUUCCGUAGGUGGUCUGCUGUCAACCAAAGCUAAAGUUGUGUCUGAAUGGCAGAAGUUAUACAAUAGCUUAAGUUCAGAGUUAGAAAGCAAUCCCCACCUUACAAGCCUCACAAGAAUCCUAUCCCUCAGCUAUCACCAUCUACCGUAUUACCUCAAAUCUUGUGUAUUAUACUUUGGCAUCUUUCCUGAGGAUUACUCAGUUAGUUGCAUAAGAUUAGUUCGGUUGUGGAUCGCUGAAGGCUUUGUGAAACCGAAGAUGGGCAAGACACUAGAAGAGGUUGGAGAGGAAUACUUGAUGGAGCUAAUUCACAGAAGCCUGGUUCAAGUUUCAGAAGUUUACAUUGAUGGAAAAGCUCGAGGUUGUAGAGUUCAUGAUCUAUUGCACGACGUCCUCCUUAAAAAGGGGUUGGAUUCCAGCUUCUGUCAUGUGUUUAUCAAAAGGCAAGUUGACUUUUAAACCAACAACUCGACGUCUCUCAAUGGACAUCAAUCCCUCUGAGGCCUUGGAAAGCAUUACACAAUUUCAUAUUCGUUCUGUAUUUACUUUCAACCUAGAAGAAUGGCCCGAGUCUUUUCUCGAUACAUUGAGUGGAAACUUUAAACUUCUGAAAGUAUUGGAUUUCACGGCUGCUCCAAUCAAUCAACUUCCUAAAUAUGUGGGGGAUUUAUAUCUCUUGACGUACUUAAGCCUGAGGAAUACAAAGGUGAAGUUGCUUCCAGACUCCAUAGGCAAUCUACAAAACUUGGAAACCCUGGAUCUAAAACAGUCUCUGGUGUAUGAAAUACCAGCCAAGAUCAACAAGCUUGUUAAGUUGCGGCAUCUUUUGGCCUACCAUCUUGACUACAACUACGACUUGGGUUUGUUCUUGAAUAUGGAAAAAGGAGUGAAGAUACAUGAAGGUAUUGGAUGCUUACAAGCUUUGCAAAAAUUGUCCCAUGUGGAGGUGAAUCAUGGAGGGAUCAGGAUAAUCAAAGAACUGGGAAAGUUAAGACAGCUGCGGAAGUUAGGCCUAAAAAACUUGAAAAGUGAAGAUGGAAGGGCUGUGUGUGCUUCUAUUGAAAAGAUGAACCACCUUGAAUCUCUAAUUUUAACUGCAAUAAAUGAAGAUGAAGUCCUUGAUCUAGAAUCCAUUUCAACUCCACCACAAUUUAUUCGUGCUCUCUUCUUGAUAGGGCGUUUAGAGCAGUUGCCAGGUUGGAUUUCAAAUCUUCAACACCUCGU